rnacentral:lncRNA from 1 species
CCAUAUCACACCCUCUCUUUUAAUUACCCCAAACACCCAACCCUAAUCCCCAUUUCUCACCGUCUGCCGCCCUCAUAUCCUCACCCCCCUUCUCCUUCCUAAGAACCUUAGCCGCCGCCCACCUAAAAUAUCUCCUUAUCCCACCCAAUAUGGGAUUCCAUGGUGUUUCUUUGCCAUAUACGGCCUCUCUUUGGUACUGAUUACUUUAUACACUGCUUGCCUAAACAUGGCAAGUAGAUCUCAUAAAGAUCGAACCAAAAUCGGUUCAAAUCCUUGACUUUUCUGAUAUUCUGUCUAUAUUCAUCAUUUUCCUCUAUUGUAAGUAUGAUAUUUGUGUAUCUUUUGUUGAUUCUUACUUACCCUAAAAUUAGUGUUUUCAGAUCUCUUUUAAUUGAACCAAAAUGGGUUCGAUUUUCUGAAUUUAAGUGUUAUUAUGUCCAUAUUCGUCCUAUAUUCUACUAUGUCCCGUUUUUAUUAUAUUUUUGUCAAUAUUUGUCUUACCCUAAAACUAGGGUUUUCAGAUUUCCUUAAAUCGGACCAAAUUGGUUCGAUUCUCUGAUUUUUAGUACUAUUUGUGCCUAUAUUAAUCCUAUGUUAUUAUUUUUGUAUAUAUUCUGGUAAUAUUUAUUUUCCUAAAAAACUAGGGUUUGCUUGACUUCUCCUAAAUUGAUUCUGAAUCAAAUCCGCAUGUUAUUCUUUCCUUUUUCUUUAAGAUUGAUUGUUUGUUUUUCCUUGUUUGUGUGUUUAAUUUUGCUACUAUAAAAACCCAUCCCCCUUCCCCGUUAUGGACAGCACUUUAAUCGCUAUUCUCUCACUAAAAACUGAAGUUUUCUACUCUAUACUUGUUUUCUAUUCUAUUCUGUUUGGCUCUUGGCCGGCUGAAAGCCAAGGCCACGGGACUUCUACUUUUUCUGACCUCUCUUGGGUGUGAGCACUGCCUAGGUUCUUGAAACCCUUGGAACUUGACACAUUUAGGACUCUGGGUCCUUACUGCAAUCCUAUUCUUAUUUAUUGAAAAAUCACUGGUUAGUUUCUAAAUCCUUGCAAUGUUUACUCUAUUAUGUUAAGCAUGUUCUCUGAAACUACAUGAUUUAAUGUAUAUCUUUGAAUCUUUUCUGCCUAAUUUUGCCUAUGAUUGUUAGCCUAAUAAUGUCUCUGCACCUAGCUUAGUUAGUUUGGAAAGAAUGAAGCAUGAUUAGUUUAGUAUUGUUGAUAAUUCAAAUAUUCUGGUUUGACUAUAUGGUCCAAUCCAUGUUUCUCUGCCUAAUUCUGAACUUCUAAUGGCCAAUUGAUGUUAUUAACCUGCCCCCAUUUUGUUUAAGACCUUACUCCGAAUGUUGUAUGCUCCUAUGACUACUGUUCCCACUAUAUGUGUUCUUGCCUUGACCAAUCUAUACCCCUAAUGACUUGUGAUCUUUUAAAACUAAUAUCCUUUGAUUAAUACCUUCUAUGAUACCUGAUCUUGUAUGUGUUAUAUUGUCUAAACCUGAGUAAGUAUAAUCUGAUCCAUUAAGUCAUAAACUGGUUGCAUUACUUGGUUUUACUAGCCUAAUGCCCUUGCCUGUUAACUUUGCAAUCCUAAAUUCUUUGUCUCUUAGCACAUGUCACCCUGCCCAGUGUGUUAAUUUGCUUUUGGAGUUCAUUAUGUGAUUAUCCUAUCGUGUUUGCAAAUGCUUUUCCAAACUUAUUGUCCUUAUCACUUGUUUCUAAUUCUGGGGCUGGCUGAAAGCCAAAGCCCUCCCUCCCAAGUCUCCUUUAUCAACCUCCCUAGUGUGAGCACUGCCCUGGGUUCUUGAAGCCCUUGGGAAUUUCUGACACACUAGGGUCCAGGUUCUUUUCCACUUUUCCUAAUUGUUCAACUUUGCCCCAUUUUUACCUACUGGAUAAACCAGUUGGUUUGUGUAAAUGGUUGUUCACCUGGGACUUUUGAUCAAGUUAUGGCUACUGGAUGUGGGCCAUUUUGUAUAAACGGAGGUUGUUUUUUGAGCUGUUGUGAAACUGUAUGGAUAUGGUAUUGAAGGCCUAGCCAGGAAGGGUAUACAUUGGGCCUAUAAUAAUAUUGUAAUAAUAAUAAUUGGGGUGUUAGUAAAAUUGGGAAAAUGGGUUUAUUCUCACUUUGCAUGAACGGGUAGAAAUCCUGCCUAUAGGGGUUAAUUUGCUCAAACGUGUUCUGCUCCUAUGUGUUGUUAGAUAACCUGCCUAUAGGACCUAAGUGUUUCAUUGGCUUAAUUUAUUCCUCUUCUAUAUGUCUUGCUAGAUAUCAUGCCUAUAGGGAAUAAAGUGAUCAAUGUUUCAGUCUAUGACCAUAGGGUCAUGUUAGGUUUAUGCUCUACAAAUCUGCAUUUUAGAAAUCAUGCCUAUAGGGUUUAAUUGGUUAAUGUGUUGUUGUUAUAAUUGCUCAUUUAGGAAACAUCCCUAUAGGAGCUAAAAUCAGUUUCAAUCGCUAAUCAUAGAAAUCUUGCUUUAAGUGCUAAAAUUGAACUUUCAAUACUGUUUCAUUGCUUAACUUUGCCGCUAUUAGAAAGCAUGCAUGUAGGAUCAAACUGGGUAAUUCUGAAUAUCUCCUGUUAUUAUCACUGCCAAUUAGUGCGUAAAUCAUCUAGAUAGCAUGUCUAUAGGUUUAAUCGCUUAUAACCUGUAAUUAGUAGGCAACUGUGUAGUCACUUAGAAAUUAUACUUUGCAUACAAAACUGUCUGCACGUUCAAAAUCCAGUUCACAUAGAAACCAUGCCUAUAGGGCCUAAUGACUUUAAUUUGCCUCAAUCCUGAAAUUGUCUAACGCUUAAUGUGAAAAUUUGUUCACGUACAUUUGUUGUCUAAGUGUGGAGGCUAACUUGAGCCCUUAAUUGCUUUUACAUGAAGUCCAACUUGUUUUGUAUGUCGCCUAGUUUUAUCAUUUCUGAGCAGCCUAAGCUAAGCCUAGAAACCAUCCAAAAUAGAGGUCCAAACGCCUCUUGGGCCAUAGGCAUGCGACGGGUAGGGCACGCAUAGGGCACGGUUUAGAAUCAGCUAGUGCGCUUUAGGUAAAAACUUAAAGAUAGUAAUCGGGUAGCAGGAGAUGAUAGUCUGUUCCCGCUGAAUAAUACGAGUAACACCCCAUCUCGAGGGAGUUACGAAGCAUUAUUUAUGUUGCACGGGGUGAUCCUUUAGGCUAAAAAACUUAGGACCCCCCAUCUUGUCUUUAAACCAAUUAUCUGUGUUUACUCAAGGAC